GAUGAACGCUGGCGGCGUGCCUAUUACAUGCAAGUCGAGCGAACAGACGAGGAGCUUGCUCCUCUGACGUUAGCGGCGGACGGGUGAGUAACACGUGGAUAACCUACCUAUAAGACUGGGAUAACUUCGGGAAACCGGAGCUAAUACCGGAUAAUAUAUUGAACCGCAUGGUUCAAUAGUGAAAGACGGUUUUGCUGUCACUUAUAGAUGGAUCCGCGCCGCAUUAGCUAGUUGGUAAGGUAACGGCUUACCAAGGCGACGAUGCGUAGCCGACCUGAGAGGGUGAUCGGCCACACUGGAACUGAGACACGGUCCAGACUCCUACGGGAGGCAGCAGUAGGGAAUCUUCCGCAAUGGGCGAAAGCCUGACGGAGCAACGCCGCGUGAGUGAUGAAGGUCUUCGGAUCGUAAAACUCUGUUAUUAGGGAAGAACAAAUGUGUAAGUAACUAUGCACGUCUUGACGGUACCUAAUCAGAAAGCCACGGCUAACUACGUG
rnacentral:rRNA from 1 species